UGGAUUAUCAUCGCCACGAGCAUAGAAGUUGUCUGGCAUGGAAACGAUUUCGAUACCAUUAACGAAGGCAAAAGAUGCUGGAGACGGAAUGAAGGUUAAUUCAAGCUUCUGGUUGUCCCACACGGUGAUGAUGAACUCUUUGGUGAAGGAGUCAACUGGAGGUCUUAUAGCAGAAACUGUAAGAGAGGCACUAAAGUUGUUUAGUAGCUGGUAGGUAUUGGCACUAAGCGAAAAAUAGGAUUUGGAUAUAUCAAGAUUUGAGUAAGAAGAUGGAUAAAAGUAGAGACGCACAAAUUUUGGGCCAGGCAAGACUAGAAAUGUGUAAGUGAAUUUAGAGUGAAAAAUACGGGCUGUCUUGUAUGGGACUUGGUCGACAGAGGGGUCUUGAGUGGAGGCUUCAAACACAGAUGAGGCUUCUGGGGGAUUAGAGGCAGCAAACUUCGGCUGGGAAUCACCAUCCCAGCUGCGACCAUCUGGAGAUGACAAAUUAGAGGAUGCACCACAGUUAAGGAGUAUUAGAUCAGUGGGGCUGUAUGGCAGCAAGUAAUCUUCAGUAGCAGUAACAUAGAGGAAGAGAUGGAGGGGAGGGAGAAGGUAGAGAGCGAUGAAGAUGGACAUUAUGCUAUUUCUUUUGUGGAAUAGGUUGGAGUAAGAAAACCUAUGCAUUAAAUGCAAAGAUUUUGAUUUAAGGGAAGAUGAUCAGUGGCGUUUUUGUCUCCAUACAGUAGUAUAUUUGCUCAAGUUGAGAAUAAUCCAAUAAUAUAUUUGAAGCCCGGGGGAGUAGAAAUUCGACGAUAUGGCUAAUGGGAACAUAUUGCUCGCUGUACUUGGUCAGCUUUGGAUGGCUGCUUUCCAUUGUGUGGUUCUGAAUUCUGCCAUAAAGACGCCAUGAAUAGUCUAUGAAACUUAUUUUUCUUUUCUUUUUUCCUUGACUUUUUCAUUCUUUGAUUAAGAUCACACACACCACUUAAUUUCUUAUUUGAUUAAUAUUCUUAACGAGGUUGAAUGUAUUUCAGGUUGGUGUUCACCAUAACAAAUGCAGUAAUCACAGCUCCGAGAUUAGGAUUCAAAAGGUGCAAAGCUUCUUUUUCCUUAUGGUCACCGCCUUGAUACAAUGAUUGUCGCAAGUGCAAGUCUAUAUAAUCCUCACCGAUGCCUUCUGUCCAAUACACACACAUCUUCAUUAUAGACUGGCCUUGCUUCAGUCUUCAAUAAGAAACAUCGUUCUUGUUCCUCAUGAGUAGCCCUUUGACUCGCCUCAGAUCCAUGAAGUCUCAUUUACUUCUUUCUAUUAUUCUUCUGCAAUGAUGUCUUACUGAUAAAAUGCUCUUGUUUUUGGUUAUAAAUGAUAUAAUUUUACACAGGAACUAAUAGGAGGCUCAAAGGAUCGACCUAUUCCUUUUUGGUUCAUGAGUGUGCCUUUUUGGGCUGAGUUUAAAACCAAAAAUCUUCUCAUCUGGUAUAGUAAUCGCUUAAUUACUACAAAACUUGGUGGUAAUGAGAAAUCUUUCUUCCCAUUAAUCGAAGAAUAAUGGAUUUACCUCUCGACAUACUUGGUGCCGAAUAAAAUCAAUAGCACUAGUGAAGAAGAGGCAAGCUGUCCUCUCUUCCCUGGAGAUGGCAAUUUGUUCUCUCUCAUCCUGUUAAGCUUGGUUUCCAUACAUGAGGGGAAACUGAAUGGAGUUCUCGGUGGAUGAAAAAUAAUUGUAAUAAUAAAUGAAAUGAGAUUGAGUUUCAUUGUUGAAAAAAUCAUGCUGAAAUCACUUCAAUCCUAAGAUUAAUGAGUCGCUAUUCAAAUGGAAACCCACGCAGACAGAUAAAGAACUGACCCCUUUGUCCCCUCUUCCUCGAUCAACUACCAUGUUUGCACCGAUUGUAGUAAGUGUGCAAGGCCGAGAGUUAGGAUUGAUCGGUUUUGCACAGUUGCCAUAUAUUUGUGCAUUGCAAAUUGGUUGUCGUUCUAAACUCCUAUAGUUAAUAUAGUUACCCUGAGAGGCCAGUAGUCUCUGAUGCACUUCAGAUUCCAUAGAGAAGUCCUCUUCAUUACCUUCACCGAUUGUGGCAUUGAAAAUUGGACUCGAGUUUGCUUUUAGGAAAGGCAGCUGCAGAAGCAGAUGUGAUCACUGAAACCAGCAGGAUAGUUAAAGAGAGCCACCAGAGGAAUUCAAUACUUGCGUUAGGCCUCAUCUCUUUCUUUCUGUGCCCUUCUGUUACAGAGUUUGAAGAGCACUAAAUAAACGUCACUGCUAAGAAGGCUUCAAACUCUGGAUAUGGAGUGAAAGGCUAGCUUUUUUCCAUUUACAUGCUUUUUUACUGUGAUUUUAAUGUUGUAAACUAUUAAGAAUUAUCUCAAUUUAAUAACUUAAAUUAUUAAGUAAGAUCUUAAAAUAUAAUUUAUAUUAUUCAAGAAUAUUUGACAAAACAUCCUGCCACUUAUUUUAACUAUAUAUAUAUAUAUAUAUAUAUAUAUAUAUAUAUAUAUAUAAUCUGGAUUUUUGUUAGUGAAUUCAUCCUAAUCGGAACUUGAUAUUUCAUAUAAGGCUUCUUGAAGUUUUUUUCUUGUAUUCUGACUUUGAGCUUGAUGAUGCAAGGUUUUCUUGAAUUCAACUUUUAGUGGUGAGAAACGUAAAAAGCAUGCACAACUUUAGAACAAGCUUGAGUUUCUCUAAAUUUGGGUCCACCACCAUUUGACUUUGAUUUUUCUCAUUAAAUCUAAAGAGUAACCAAUAUCUUCAUUUAUAUCAUUCAUUAUAAUGGAGUCCCAAGAUAGCAUGAGACACCAAAGGUUGCGAUGAAAUAAAAGGAGGCAGGAAUUGAAUUCAAAGGUAUUUUUGCUGUGAACAAUUUCAAUCCUUUGUAUGAUUUUUUAGGGAGAAUCUUUCUUAUUGAAGAAAAUAUUGCCAUCAAUUGUUUGGGAACUAAGUUGGAAAAUUCUUUGGACAAUGUUUUAUCAAAUUAGAUGAACGAUGAAUGGUCAUAGGUUUUUAGAAAAAAUAAAAUAAAUUAAGCUUGUUGAUAAUCAAAAUAAAUGGAUCUUAAAGGUUGGUAGUUUUGAGAAAAUCUUUCAAGGUGCAGGGGUUUUGAUUCAUGUCUUGAAAGGUUAUUAAAACCUUUUGAAUUUUUUAUUUUGAAAAAAACAAGAUUGUUUACAUCUUGAUUAUGAAUUAUUUCAACAAAGUCAAUAUCAGCUAGAAUAAACUGAUAGAAUUGUCUUGUUUUCAACAUAUUUUCUACAUUAACUUGAAAAUAAUAGCUUCUUGACUUGAAAGGGUUAUUAUUUAUUUUUUUUGGGAGAAAAUUUGGAUGGUAAUAAACAUGAGUGAAAGUACAAGCACUAGGACAAUAACAAGAGAAAGAAAAUUAAUAGUUGAAAUAGAAUAGAGUAUAAGAAUCCUAAUUUAUAGUUUUAUUGAUGAAGAGAAAAAUCCACUAUUUCUUUUGCCUCUUUAAGAUGUUUUCAACUCUUUAAAUAAGCUCAAAAAUCAAACAAAACAAACUAGAAAACCAUAAAAUAAAGAAAAAAAUAUAUUAAAAUUCCUAAACAAACUUAAAGAAAUAAAAUUACUAUUCUCAAUAUUUGAUUUCCUAAACUAAAUAGAAAAAAUAAAAUCACCAUAAAAAAAUAUUUUUCUAAACUAAAUAAAAAAUAAUAAUAACUAAAAAAUCUUAAUUUCAUAAAAACCCAUGGCAUCAACAAUAACGUUGUUAAAGGUGCAUUUUGGGAUUGAACAAACAAGGGAGUUUGAAGAGAUUAAGAAUAAUUUAUUAUAGGUGAGCUGUUUGGAGUAGAUCAUGCUGAUGAAUAAAAACUAGCCUCACGGUAUCUUGAAUGCUUGAUGUUGUGGCUUGAAUUGGUUUUGAUGGUGUAAGAGCAUAUGAUUUCUUUUGACUUCUUGACCAGGAUGCUCAUUUUGAGCCUAGUAAAGACUCUUUGGAUAAAAGACUCUUUUACUUCUUUCAUGAAUUCAAUCUCGAAAUCAUAUUUUGAUAGAUUAUCUUGACACAAUAUUUUAAAUAUUUUUUUCAACAAUAUAUUUUAUAUAUUGAUAAUUUAUUAGUAAAAGCAAUUUUUUUCUGGAAAAUUAAUAAUUUCUGGAAAAUAUUAGAUGUACAAAAUAUUUAAUAUUUUUUUUAUAAUUAUAUAAUUUUCUUGUGGACCCAAUCAAAUACCUAAAUGAUAUUGCACUACAUGUUCUUGACUUUGAAAAUUUUGUUUGAGAAUACCACUUUAACUAAUAUAAAGGCAAGGCAUCAGUUUCAACUAAAAAAAAACUCUCUAGAUCAGGAAGUUUUAAACAUGAAAACUCUUGAGUUGAAUUUUAAGAGCAUUCACAAUUUUGAUAAUUUGAUGAUUCCAGGCAUCCCAUAAACAAUACCAGUCUUAAACAAUUUUGUUUGAUGACUUCUAAGGGUUUUUCUCAUCAAGUCUUUUGUAUAAAGGUUGACAUAUAUUUAUAAGAUUUGAAAAAAUAUCUAAAACAUAAUUGAGGCAUCCCAUAAACUUUUAAAGCUGGGUUUUAAUCUUGAUUUUAUUUAUGAAUUUAUUAGUAAAUUUUAUUGAUCAAGUGAUAAGGGUUAUUGAUCAUUGAUAUAUAUUGUACCCUAAAACAAUUAUUUUUAAUAUAUUGACAUCAUCUUUAAAGUCGAGAUAACUAAUUCAUUUUGUUUGAUAAUAUCAAGAAAUUUUUGUAAAUUGUUGAAAUGUUUGGUUAUUGGUUUUAAAAAUAAAAAAAAGACAUCAUCAAUAUAUAUAAUCAUAAAUUUUGAAUAUGGAUUAAAGAUGUUAUUUAUGAUGCUAUGAAGUUUUGAAGGAGUAUUUUUUAGUUCGAAAAACAUUAUAUCUCAUUUGUAAUGAUAAUGAAAUAAUGAAUGUUGUUUUGUAAUGAAUUUUUUUUUUAUCAAUUUAGAUUUGCUAGAAUAUUGAUUUAAUAAAAAUAUUUUGAAAAUAUUAAAGCAUUUUAAAGUCUUUUCAUAAGAUCUCUCUUGUUGUGCCUUGGAUAUCUAAUAUAUUGGAGCACUUUGUUAAGAGGCUUGUGAUUCAUGAUCAAAUGUCUUAGUGCACUUCUUUGUAUUUCAGCUUGAUUUCAGACAUAAAAAGGUGGCGUACGAUCAUGAUAAUUUACUAGGGCUUAUAAGGCACUUUUUGAGUAAUUCAUUAAUUUAAUUUUUUUUAAUAAUAUUUUAGUAUAUUUUUUAUUCAUUUGAAUUGGUCUUUCCUUUGUAGGGAUUUUCUUUUCAUUAAAACCUUUUUAAUAAGGUAACUGCACUUAUGACAUUUUUUUUUAAUCCUAAAAGGCACUAGGCAAGUUGGAACAUAAUCAUUUUCUAGAUGGUAAUGACUUUGGAAUACUGACGUGAGGUAAUUUCCAAUUAUCAUUGUACGUGAUUUGAUCUCAUUAUCAAAGUUUAGGAACUUGAAUGUUUGAAUUUUGAAAGUUAGCUUCAAUUCGAAGAGUUUAAUUUAUAGAUGAUUUUUUGAGAGCGGAGCUAUGUUUGUAUCCAUGAUUUUGUAAUAUAUUCUAUAGAUGAUGACUAUAUUUUUGGAAUCUUGAAGCAUAUCAGUUGGAGUCUUAAUAUUUAGAGUUAAAGUUUUCACUAUAAUAUCUAGGUUGAAUAAUGAGAUAGUGAAAUUUGGAUAACAAUUCAAGUAUGUAGAACCAUUAGCAAGAUUUGAUUGAAAGAUUGUAAGUAGUGAGUUUUAAAAGGUCAUAAAUUGAGGUGAUGAAUUGGUUUGACUACAAUUUGUAUGAGAGAGAGAGAGGUGAUCAUUUUUUAUUUGGUUUUUAUAAAAAAAGUAAUUAAACUAGAUUUAUAAAAAAAAAAAACAAAACUGAACCGAAACCGGUUCAAACUGACUGGUUUUGAUUUGACUCAAUUUUUGUUUGAUUGGGGUUCAGUUCGGUUUGGUUUUUCAGUUUAAAGUUUAUAAAACCAAAAUCAAACCAAACCGGUUGGGUUUUUAAAAAUUCUAAUCGGUUUUUUUCAUGGUUUGAUUUUUUUAGUUAAUUUGUUUUUUUUGUUUUCUUAGUUUAAUCAAUUUUUUGAUUUUUUUACUCACUCCUAAUCUAUACUAAACCCAUGUGAUAAAAAAUUAUCUUUCGUUAGUGUUUGGAACAAAAAAUAAGGAAAGAUAUAAUUGUUUCAGAUUGUUUGAUGAAGGCUGGUCUAGAUCAUAUAUAAUUGUCAUUACACAGUGCCGGUCUAACUUGAAAGAUGUUAAUACCCCAUUAAUUGCGACGCCUAAGCUCAUAACCAUAUCCAUGAAUUAUGAUCACCAUUAAGGAAGCGCAUAGGAACUCUUUAAUUUCUAGUUGCUUCUUAAUACAUCUUCCUGGACAUGCAUGUGAUCUAAAGGAACAAAGGGAAAUUAAAUGCUUAAGCAUGAAUGUGAUCGUUCUCUAUAUGUUCGUCUUCAAGCUUUGAAAUUUUUAUAGCCCAAUUAUUAUUAUAUUUUUAAUUUUUUUAUGUGGGAAAAGAGUAUCAAAAUUGUGGGAAAUAUUGUCGAACGUGUGCGGCGGUCGCGGCGAAAAUAACAUAGUUUUUCCAUUUUCUUAAUCUAUAAUGUAAAUCUAUCUAUAUCUAUGGGGAUACAAAAAUAUUGUCUUUUAUUGGUAGAAAAUGGAAUGGGAGUCGCCACCUAGUAUUUUGGUCACUAGGAACCCUAACUGGUCUCAGAGAUCGGGUACGGGGACUGGUUGCGUAAAGGGAAGGUAUUAGCACCCCAAAUACGCCCUACCUAAGGUAAGCUGCAUUGUUUUAUUGUCUGAUAAAAACUAAGGUAUUUUCGUGUUUUCCUAGUUGUUGGUCUGUCUAUGGUUCAAGAAAAAUCCUCCUCGGUAAGAAAGGCUUUAUCUUAUCGGGUAAAAUCCUAACCGUUCUAACGUCCAUACCAAAAUUUAUUAAUAAUAUUUAGGAAUACGUUUUACGUAUAAAUUCGUAAUCCCAAAUACUAAAAUAAAACAAAAAGAUUUUUUAGAAUUUUUGAAAUAUUGGCCUAGUUCUCAUGGCUUGAAUAAACUGGUUAUUAAAGCCAAAAUGCAUGUUAAUACAUAUAUUGUUUUGAAAAUUUUCUUUGUUGUGUGAAAAUAUGAUGUUAUAAUAUUUAUAUGUAUAUAUUGGAGAGACUAGGCCGUAUGCAUGAAAACAAAACCCUUUUUUGGAAAAUAUUUAUUUUUUGAUGUUUUAACAAAAAUCGGGUAUUUUAAUACUGGGUUUGUAUUCUUACGGUAUAAAAAUACAACCCAAUAUUAAUCCACUAUAAAAAUAUGCAGAAAAAUCAACAACAUUUUUAGGGACUUUUUAGAAUUUUUUUGAAAGCAAAAACAUUUUUUAUUUGAAAAUCUUUGAUAUUUUGACGAAAACCGGGUAUUUUUAACACUGGUUUUGUAUCUUUACGGUAUAAAAAUACAAACCAACAUUAAACCACUUUGACAAAAAUGCAGAAAAUCAACAAUAUUUUUUAAGAUUUUUCAAAAUAUAUUUUUUAAAGAAAAAAUAUACAUAUAUAUAUAUAUAUAAUAUAUAAUAUAUAUAUAAUAUAAUAAUACACACACACACACAUAUAUAUAAUUCACGUCCUGCGUGAACAGUAGGACGUGAAUUAUAUUUCACGCCUACUGUUCAUGCAGUGAACAGUAGAAGGAGGAAGAAGAAGAAAAGGAGGAAAGGAAGAAGGAGGAGGAGGAAAGGAAGAGGGGCUCACUUGGCCGAAGAGGUUGUGGCUGCUGUGAUGAGGUGGUUCAGCCGGUGGUUGCAGCGGUGGAGUUGGAGGAAGACGGCGUCGGUUUCCUGUUGCAGAGGAAGAAAGAAGAAGAAGAAAAAUCUGCAGAAAUUGGGCGAAAAUGCUGGUUUUUGGCUGACUUUGGACCUGAAUUUUUCAACCCUCAGAUCAUCAAAUCCGACUCUAUUUAUAGGCUGUGGAAGAGGGCAAUCUUGUCUACGUUGGGGAAAAAUUUCAGCCCUUGAUUCAGUUGGGAAGCAUCUCAACCGUUGGCUCAAAGUGUGCACCUCGAGCUGCCAAAUUUGGCAGCUCCAGGCUGUGAACUGCCCGAGGUGGCCACUUUGAGCCACUCACCGGAGCCGUUUAACUUUUUCGACCCGACCUGACCAUUCUCCGGGAUAAAGGGGUUUCAUGUGGACAUGUUGGUGUAUGUUGUGUCGGAUUUGGAGGCCACACGAGCCGGAAAAUGCGCCUGGAAAGCAGCCACUCAGGCAGCUUUUUGAGGAAGAAGUGAACAGUAACAGGCGACGUGUCACCUGGUUUCCCUGUGCCAUUUUUUAAAUUAGUCCUCCAGUUUUCAAUUUCUUCAAUUUGACCCCGAUCAAUCCAAUACAGCCCCCCUAUUUACGCGCCUUUUCCAAAUUGGUCCCUGGUUUCGGAUUUUCUCAAUUAAGUCCCUAAUUGCCAUUAAACUUCAAUAUUUAUGCAAUUAAGCCCCUGAUUUGACCUAAUAAAUUCCUAAAAAAUAAUUUUGGCCCCAGAACUUAAAUUUCUUUAAUUAAAGCCCAAAUUGACUUAAAAAUCAAAUUUCUUGCAAUCAAAUCCCCUAUAAAAUCAAUUAAAAAUCCAAUUAAGUCCAUAAACAUCCAAAUUUGGGCUUUUCUCCUCAAAAAUUAAAAUUUCUUAUCCAUAAGGGCUCUUAUCAUUCAAGAAUAUAUUGUCAAAAAUCCAUCUUUGUAUUUUUAACCUCCUUGACUAAUUUUUCUGACCAUUUGUUGAACGCUUCUGCCUCAUGUUAUUUUUCUAACCUCCUUUGGCUAUUUAUUUUAUUUCAUUUAUUUGGGGACCCAAAAAUGGGUUAGAACAGAUGCCCCCUCUUUAUAAUGCUUACGGAGCAAGGGUUUUGCGCAGUAAGUUUUAUAAAGAUAAACUCAAAACAGAACUCCUGAAAUUAAUCUGGUUGAAGCUUGAUUGAUCUAGAACUUGUCUUUUACAACAAUCCUCCUCAGCGCCAAAAACUAUGAUCAAAAUUUAGUCAUCUUGUGCUCCCUUCUGGAGAUCUCUUUAAACCACAACCAAAAUCCUUUCCAAUUAGGUUAAACUGAGAUCCCUUCGUUGAUCCCCUUUAACCAUAACCAAGGUCUGUGUGGUGAGACUGAAUUGAGAUUCUUUCGUCGAUCCCCUUCAACCAGAACCAAAAUCCUUUCCAAUUAGGUUAAACUGAGAUCCCUUCGUCAAUCCCCUUUAACCAUAACCAAGGAAUUUGUAGGGUUGGGCUAGACUGAGAUUCCUUUCGGCAAUCCCCUCUAACCAGAACCAAAAUCCUUUCCAAUUAGGUUAAACUGAGAUCCCUUCGCCGAUCCCCUUUAACCAUAACCAAGGAAUGUGUAGGGUUGGGUUAGACUAAGAUUCCUUUCGGCAAUCCCCUCUAACUAGAACCAAAAUCCUUUCCAAUUAGGUUAAACUGAGAUCCCUUCGCCGAUCCCCUUUAACCAUAACCAAGGAAUGUGUAGGGUUGGGUUAGACUGAGAUUCCUUUCGGCAAUCCCCUCUAACCAGAACCAAAAUCCUUUCCAAUUAGGUUAAACUGAGAUCCCUUCGCCGAUCACCUUUAAUCAUAACCAAGGAAUGUGUAUGGUUGGGCUGAACUGAGAUCCUUUCGUCGAUCCCCUUCAACCAGAACCAAAAUCCUUUGCAAUUAGGUUAAACUGAGAUCCCUUCGUCGAUCCCCUUUAACCAUAACCAAGGAAUGUGUAGGGUUGGGCUAGACUAAGAUUCCUUUCGGCAAUCCCCUCUAACCAGAACCAAAAUCCUUUCCAAUUAGGUUAAACUGAGAUCCCUUCGCCGAUCCCCUUUAACCAUAACCAAGGUGUGUGUGGUUGGGCUGAACUGAGAUCCUUUCGUCGAUCCCCUUCAACCAGAACCAAAAUCCUUUCCAAUUAGGUUAAACUGAGAUCCCUUCGCCGAUCCCCUUUAACCAUAACCAAGGUGUGUGUGGUUGGGCUGAACUGAGAUCCUUUCGUCGAUCCCCUUCAACCAGAACCAAAAUCCUUUCCAAUUAGGUUAAACUGAGAUCCCUUCGUCGAUCCCCUUUAACCAUAACCAAGGAAUGUGUAGGGUUGGGCUAGACUGAGAUUCCUUUCGGCAAUCCCCUCUAACCAAAACCAAAAUCCUUUCCAAUUAGGUUAAACUGAGAUCCCUUCGUCAAUCCCCUUUAACCAUAACCAAGGAAUGUGUAGGGUUGGGUUAGACUAAGAUUCCUUUCGGCAAUCCCCUCUAACCAGAACCAAAAUCCUUUCCAAUUAGGUUAAACUGAGAUCCCUUCGCCGAUCCCCUUUAACCAUAACCAAGGAAUGUGUAGGGUUGGGUUAGACUGAGAUUCCUUUCGGCAAUCCCCUAUAACCAGAACCAAAAUCCUUUCCAAUUAGGUUAAACUGAGAUCCCUUCGCCGAUCCCCUUUAACCAUAACCAAGGUGUGUGUGGUUGGGCUGAACUGAGAUCCUUUCGUCGAUCCCCUUCAACCAGAACCAAAAUCCUUUCCAAUUAGGUUAAACUGAGAUCCCUUCGUCGAUCCCCUUUAACCAUAACCAAGGAAUGUGUAGGGUUGGGCUAGACUGAGAUUCCUUUCGGCAAUCCCCUUUAACGAGAACCAAAAUCCUUUCCAAUUAGGUUAAACUGAGAUCCCUUCGCCGAUCCCCUUUAACCAUAACCAAGGUGUGUGUGGUUGGGCUAAACUGAGAUCCCUUUGCCGAUCCCCUUCAACCAGAACCAAAAUCCUUUCCAAUUAGGUUAAACUGAGACCCCUUCGUCCGAUUCCCUUUAACCAUCCAACCAAGGAAUGAGUAGGGUUGGGUUGACUGAGAUUCCUUUCGCAAUCCCCUCUAACCAGAACCAAAAUCCUUUCCAAUUAGGUUAAACUGAGAUCCCUUCGCCGAUCCCUUUAACCAUAACCAGGGAAUGUGUAGGUUGGGCUGAACUGAGAUCCUUUCGUCGAUCCCCUUCAACCAGAACCAAAAAUCCUUUCCAAUUAGGUUAAACUGAGAUCCCUUCGUCGAUCCCCUUAACCAUAACCAAGGAAUGUGUAGGGUUGGGCUAGACUGAGAUUCCUUUCGGCAAUCCCCUAACCAAAACCAAAAUCCUUUCCAAUUAGGUAAACUGAGAUCCCUUCGCGAUCCCCUUUAACCAUAACCAAGGUGUGUGGUUGGGCUGAACUGAGAUCCCUUCGCCGAUCCCCUUCAACCAGAACCAAAAUCCUUUCCAAUUAGGUUAAACUGAGAUCCCUUCGUCGAUCCCCUUUAACCAUAACCAAGGUGUGUGUGGUUGGGCUGAACUGAGAUCCCUUCGCCGAUCCCCUUCAACCAGAACCAAAAUCCUUUCCAAUUAGGUUAAACUGAGAUCCCUUCGCCGAUCCCCUUUAACCAUAACCAAGGUGUGUGUGGUUGGGCUGAACUGAGAUCCCUUUGCCGAUCCCCUUCAACCAGAACCAAAAUCCUUUCCAAUUAGGUUAAACUGAGAUCCCUUCGUCGAUCCCCUUUAACCAUAACCAAGGAAUGUGUAGGGUUGGGUUAGACUGAGAUUCCUUUCGGCAAUCCCCUCUAACCAGAACCAAAAUCCUUUCCAAUUAGGUUAAACUGAGAUCCCUUCGCCGAUCCCCUUUAACCAUAACCAGGGAAUGUGUAUGGUUGGGCUGAACUGAGAUCCUUUCGUCGAUCCCCUUCAACCAGAACCAAAAUCCUUUCCAAUUAGGUUAAACUGAGAUCCCUUCGUCGAUCCCCUUUAACCAUAACCAAGGAAUGUGUAGGGUUGGGCUAGACUGAGAUUCCUUUCGGCAAUCCCCUCUAACCAAAACCAAAAUCCUUUCCAAUUAGGUUAAACUGAGAUCCCUUCGCCGAUCCCCUUUAACCAUAACCAAGGUGUGUGUGGUUGGGCUGAACUGAGAUCCCUUCGCCGAUCCCCUUCAACUAGAACCAAAAUCCUUUCCAAUUAGGUUAAACUUAGAUCCCUUCGUCGAUCCCCUUUAACCAUAACCAAGGUGUGUGUGGUUGGGCUGAACUGAGAUCCCUUCGCCGAUCCCCUUCAACCAGAACCAAAAUCCUUUCCAAUUAGGUUAAACUGAGAUCCCUUCGCCGAUCCCCUUUAACCAUAACCAAGGUGUGUGUGGUUGGGCUGAACUGAGAUCCCUUUGCCGAUCCCUCAACCAGAACCAAAAUCCUUUCCAAUUAGGUUAAACUGAGAUCCCUUCGUCGAUCCCCUUUAACCAUAACCAAGGAAUGUGUAGGGUUGGGUUAGACUGAGAUUCCUUUCGGCAAUCCCUCUAACCAGAACCAAAAUCCUUUCCAAUUAGGUUAAACUGAGAUCCCUUCGCCGAUCCCCUUUAACCAUAACCAGGGAAUGUGUAGGUUGGGCUGAACUGAGAUCCUUUCGUCGAUCCCCUUCAACCAGAACAAAAUCCUUUCCAAAUUAGGUAAAUUAGAUCCCUUCGUCGAUCCCUUUAACCAUAACCAAGGAAUGUGUAGGGUUGGGCUAGACUGAGAUUCCUUUCGGCAAUCCCCUCUAACCAAAACCAAAAUCCUUUCCAAUUAGGUUAAACUGAGAUCCCUUCGCCGAUCCCCUUUAACCAUAACCAAGGUGUGUGUGGUUGGGCUGAACUGAGAUCCCUUCGCCGAUCCCCUUCAACCAGAACCAAAAUCCUUUCCAAUUAGGUUAAACUGAGAUCCCUUCGUCGAUCCCCUUUAACCAUAACCAAGUGUGUGUGGUUGGGCUGAACUGAGAUCCCUUCGCCGAUCCCCUUCAACCAGAACCAAAAUCCUUUCUAAUUAGGUUAAACUGAGAUCCCUUCGCCGAUCCCCUUUAACCAUAACCAAGGUGUGUGUGGUUGGGCUGAACUGAGAUCCCUUCGCCGAUCCCCUUCAACCAGAACCAAAAUCCUUUCCAAUUAGGUUAAACUGAGAUCCCUUCGCCGAUCCCCUUUAACCAUAACCAAGGUGUGUGUGGUUGGGCUGAACUGAGAUCCCUUUGCCGAUCCCCUUCAACCAGAACCAAAAUCCUUUCCAAUUAGGUUAAACCUGAGAUCCCUUCGUCGAUCCCCUUUAACCAUAACCAAGGAAUGUGUAGGGUUGGGUUAGACUGAGAUUCCUUUCGGCAAUCCCCUCUAACCAGAACCAAAAUCCUUUCCAAUUAGGUUAAACUGAGAUCCCUUCGCCGAUCCCCUUUAACCAUAACCAGGGAAUGUGUAUGGUUGGGCUGAACUGAGAUCCUUUCGUCGAUCCCCUUCAACCAGAACCAAAAUCCUUUCCAAUUAGGUUAAACUGAGAUGCCUUCGUCGAUCCCCUUUAACUAUAACCAAAACGAAAAUGCAUGAGUGGUCUCAUUAUGAUGGGUGACCUACCCGAAUGGAAAAGAAAAAGGAGUGGUCUCAUUCUUAUGGGUGACCUACCCAGGGGGAAGAAUUCUUAGUAAACUCCAUGCUUUUUUAAGAAAUGGUUUCAAUAUGAGGUCCCUUCUGGCGACCUUCCUUGAUGAAUGUCGAAGUACGAGAUCCCUUCUGGUGAUCUCAAAUAACUUGGAAUCCCAUCGGGCGAUUCCUUUUACCAAAGCUGAAAUAUGAGGUCCCUUCUGGCGACCUUCAUCGAAAUACGAGAUCCCUUCUGGCGAUCUCACCAAACAACUUGGAAUCCCAUCUGGCGAUUCCUUUUAUACAAAACUGAAAUUUGAGGUCCCUUCUGGCGACCUCCAUCGAAAUACGAAAUACGAGAUCCCUUCUGGCGAUCUCAACAACUUGGAAUCCAUUGGCGAUUCCUUUUUACCGAAUGCUAUCGAUGUCGUUCUUCCUGCUGGCAGGGUUUGAAAACCAUUAUCUUCUCUUCUUGUUGUUCUAGAAUCAACUCAAUGAUUCUUUCUUCGUCCAUAAUCUUGUUGGAAUGCGCUAAGAUCUCCUCCUGUAACGAUCCAAAAAACAUAUAUGCAAUGAUUUAUGAUUAGAUGCAAUGCAUGCAUUCGUACCUGGUUUUGAAACAUAGGCCCCAUCCUCUUCUAGUUCAUGAGACUCCCUCUUAACAUGAACUUGCUUUUGAAGUCGUAUGCUGGAUUCAUCUCUCGUGUUGCCUAUCAUAUUCUUGGAGAAAAGUCUUUGACUUUCUUCAAGUAGUCCUUUUCUCAAAAUGUAUGACUUGUAUUUGCCUCUUUGUCAUGCUUUUGUCAAAUGCUUUAGCUUGGUUUUCAAAUCUAUAGGCUUCAUCCAAUUUUAAACACGUAAAACUUUUCAUAAAACAUCUCGUCUUGCCCCCAGUGUAGGGGUGCGAUAUUAGUCUGGGUUUUAUAUAGAGAAGAAUUCAUUCAGCCAGUGAUAAACUUUUUUAGUGAGUGAAGAUAAUGAUUUUUUUUUUUUCAAAAUGCACAUUGUUAUAUAAACUCUAUUCUUUAAAAGACAAUUACAGAUGAUUAUAAGACCACUUAAUCAUUUAUCAUUAUCAUCAAGGUUGUAUUUAGGGUUAGCUUUUCUUAAAUUUCAUAUUAAACCAUUUUAUGAUACUUUAUUUGUAACCACUCAAACUUGUUCAAAAAAUGCAUAAACUCAUCAUUUAUUUAAAGAAAAGGUAAGCUCAAACACAAAAAUGGCUGACAUCAUGAGCCUGAUUGCCCACUAGAGAAAAAAAAGCAAAGACAAAAGCAAAUGACAAAAACAUGCUAAGGCAAAUAAAGUUGUUUUACAUUUUGAAAACUACGAGAAGUUCUUGGGUCAACCCGUUCUGAAACUUCUUCUAGUGUGUGGAAAGUCAACCGAGGCAAUGCUUCAUCUUCCUUCCCCACUUGCGUUUCCUUGUCUUCUCCUUCGAUCUCGCCUUCUUCAUUAUUGACGAUUCUUGACCAAGGUUUUCCAACCUUUAUCCCCUAUCACUUUUGUCAUGACCAGGCAAUGGAUUUGAAUGAUAUUGGGUGUGUCUUCAAAUGACACCCAUCCUAUCUUGAUGAGCUUCAACAACUUGUUCUUGAAAGUAGCACGUUUCAAGACAAUGCCCGGGAAUACCAGCAUGGUACUCGCAAGUCAACUCGGGCUUAUACCAGAUGGGGAAUGGUGGCUGUAGUGGUAAUGUAGGGAUAGGAGCUAUUUGUCCAAUGCUCAGUAGUUUGGCAUAUAUGUCCUUCAGAGGCAUGGGUAAUGGCGGUAGUUGUUCUGAAAUGUAUCUUGUGUUUGGUCUUUGGUGGUUGUUUUGGGUGUUUGACUGAUUUGCUCGAUUAGGGGAAAAAGGUUUGUUAAAGUUUAUGUGGGCCACAUGAGAGGUAGGUAUUUGUGGGUUAUAUGAAUCUGUUAUCUUGUCAUUGGACCCACCUUCGAAGUUGUUAACGGGACCUUUCAUUUUUCUUCCGAAAAAACCCUUUGUCUCCAAUGGCUCAAUUAUGCGUCCAGCUUUAAUCCCUUGCUCUAUUCUUUCCGCUAUGCGUACAACAUCAUAGAAAUGUUGAGAUGAGCUACCCAUUAAAUGCUCAUAGUAGGGUGCCUUGAAUGUAUUGGCGAACAAAGUCACCAUCUCCGUUUCUAUCAAAGGGGGUUGCACAUGCAUGGCCUCGUCCCUCCAUCUUUGCGCAUAAGCCCUUACUGAUUCUUGGCUUCUCUUUUCCAUUGACAUAAGGCUUGUUCGAUCUGGAGCAAUUUCCAAAUUGAACUUGUAUUGCUUAAGGAAAGCCUCAACUAAAUCCUUCCAUUUCUUGAUCUUGGCAUUAUCCAGCCUCAUGUACCAACUUAGCGCCGACCCCGAUAGACUGUCUUGGAAAAAGUAGAUCAGUAACUUAUCGUCAUGAAUCACCUCAGCCAUCUUAUUGCAAUAAGAUCGAAGGUGAGUGUUUGGGCAUUCCAACCCAGUGUACUUUAUAAACUCCGGUAUCCUAAAUUUUUGGUACCGUGAUGUUUGGUACCAAGCAUAUUUCAGACGCUCGCAUGGGGUCAAACCAGUCAUUUCCCUCGACUGCUCUUAACCUUUCUUCCAAGGCUGAUAUCUUGUCAUCGUUCAUAAAACCAGUGGACCUAUUAUCGGAAGGCCCCUCUACAGUGAUGUGAGCUUGAGGGGGCUGAAUGGGAAUGGCAGUGCAAAGUGCUGCCCCGUCACUGAAUCUGCCCCCAAGUUCUGAGAUACCCCCGGGACAUGAACUGACGGUGCUCCUAUAGGUGGUUGGGUAGAUGUUCCCUCCCCGUUCUUGGCUCUUAAAAGUUGCUCAAGCAGAUUGGUCAGUCGAGAAACUUCAUUUUACGGAUUCCAAUUCACUGGUAGUGCGACUCUAGGAUGCUCUCUUCUUCUCCAUUCUUGAUCUGGACCGGGUUUGGUGGACUCUGGAUGUGGGACCUAUGUUUCACGAUCUGUAAUGCAUAUGAUAACAAAAUGCGUGAUGAAAAUGUGAUGCACAAGUGAUGAUGUAUAACAUUGCAAAAAGAUACAUAACCUAAGGACAAGCUCUAUUUAUUAAGUGAGAGUGGGUAGUUUUUUCUAUCUGUCUUGAAGGUCUCAUAUCUGCCCAGUGACGUUCUUCGUAAAGACAGUAUGGGGGCGUUGCAAGGAACAGUUAAGACACGUAUGCCCACCAUUACCAAACAGGCACUCAGAUAUGAGUUGGGUGUUUCACGCAUUUAAACCCUGACCAAUAGUCUUAGGGUAAAUCGCUAAUUCCCCACUUAACUUAAAGCUUGUGUGUGCUUCUCAAAAUAAAAGCAAGUGAUGCAUGAGAUAAUUUUAUACAAUGCAUAAAUAAUACGCGUAAAAUAAAAAACAAACAUGCAAAUAAACGGAAAGGCAUAUUAACAAUAAACACACGAAAACACAAACAAAUCAGACAAAAACAAAGCUUAGUCUACAAGGUCCCCAGCGGAGUCGCGGCGAAAAUAACAUAGUUUUUCCAUUUUCUUAAAUCUACAAUGUAAAUAUAUCUAUGUCUAUGGGGAUACAAGAAAAUAUUGUCUUUUAUUGGUAGAAAAUGGAAUGGGAGUCGCCACCUAGUAUUUUGGUCACUAGGAACCCUAACUGGUCUUAGAGAUCGGGUACGGGGACUGAUUGCGUAAAGGGAAGGUAUUAGCACCCCAAAUACGCCCUACCUAAGGUAAGCUGCAUUGUUUUAUUGUCUGAUAAAAUCUAAGAUAUUUUCAUGUUUUCCUAGUUGUUGGUCUGUCUAUGGUUCAAGAAAAAUCCUCCUCGGUAAGAAGGUCUUUAUCUUAUCGUGUAUAAUCCUAACCGUUCUAACGUCUUUACCAAAACUUUAUUAAUAAUAUUUAGGAAUAUGUUUUACGUAUAAAUUCGUAAUCCCAAAUACUAAAAAGAAAACAAAAAGAUUUUUUAGAAUUUUUUGAAAUAUUGGCCUAGUUCUCAUGGCUUGAAUAAACUAGUUAUUAAAGCCAAAAUGCAUGCUAAUACAUAUAUUGUUUUGAAAAUUUUCUUUGUUGUGUGAAAAUAUGAUGUUAUAAUAUUUAUAUAUAUAUAUAUUGGAGAGACUAGGCCGUAUGCAAGAAAACAAAACAUUUUUUUGGAAAAUAUUUGUUUUUUGAUGUUUUAACAAAAAUCAGGUAUUUUAAUACUGGGUUUGUAUUCUUACGGUAUAAAAAUACAAACCAAUAUUAAUCCCUUUUGACAAAAAUAUGCAGGAAAAUCAACAAUAUUUUCAAAGAUUUUUUCAGAAUAUAUUUUUUAAAGAAAAAAAUAUACAUAUAUAUAUAUAUACAUAUAUAAUAUAAUAUAUUAUAAUAUAUAAUAUAAUAAUACACACACACACAUAUAUAUGUAAUUCACGUCCUGCAUGAAUAGUAGGACGUGAAUUAUAUUUCACUCCUACUGUUCAUGCAGUGAACAGUAGGUAAGGAGGAAGAAGAAGAAGAAAAGGAGGAAAGGAAGAGGAAGGAGGAGGAAAGGAAGAGGGGCUCACUUGGCCGAAGGGGUUGUGGCUGCUGUGAUGAGGUGGUUCAGCCGGUGGUUGCAGCGGUGGAGUUGGAGGAAGACGGCGUCGGUUUCCUGUUGCAGAGGAAGAAAGAAGAAGAAGAAAAAUCUGCGGAAAUUGGGUGAAAAUGCUGGUUUUUGGCUGACUUUGGACCCAAAUUUUUCAACCCUCAGAUCAUCAAAUCCGACUCUAUUUAUAGGCUGUGGUAGAGGGAAAUCUUGUCUAUGUUGGGUAAAAAUUUCAGCCCUUGAUUCAGUUGGGAAGCAUCUCAACCGUUGGCUCAAAGUGUGCACCUCAAGCUGCCAAAUUUGGCAGCUCCAGGCUGUGAACUGCCCGAGGUGGCCACUUUGAGCCACUCAACAGAGCCGCUUCUAACUUUUUCGACCCGACCGGACCAUUCUCCGGGAUAAAGGGGUUUCAUGUGGACAUUUCUGUGCACGUUUUGUCGGAUUUGGAGGCCACACGAGCCGGAAAAUGCGUCUGGAAAGCAGCCACUCAGGCAGCUUUUUGAGGAAGAACGUGAACAGUAACAGGCGACGUGUCACCUGGUUUCCCUGCGCCGUUUUUAAAUUAGUCCUCCAGUUUUCAAUUUCUUCAAUUUGACCUCGGAUCAAUCCAAUACAGCCCCCCUAUUUACGCGCCUUUUCCAAAUUGGUCCCUAGAUUCGGAUUUUCUCAAUUAAGCCUCUAAUUGGCCAUUAAACUUCAAUAUUUAUGCAAUUAAGCCCCUGAUUUUACCUAAUAAAAUUCUAAAAAAUAUAUUUUGGCCCUAGAACUUAAAUUUCUUUCAAUUAAAGCCCAAAUUGACUUAAAAAUCAAUUUUUCUUGCAAUCAAAUCCCCUAUAAAAUCAAUUAAAAAUCCAAUUAAGUCCAUAAACAUCCAAAUUUGGGCUUUUCUCCUCAAAAAUUAAAAUUUCUUAUCCAUAAGGGCUCUUAUCAUUCAAGAAUAUAUUGUCAAAAAUCCAUCUUUGUAUUUUUAACCUCCUUGACUAAUUUUUCUGACCAUUUCUAACCUCCUUUGGCUAUUUAUUUUAUUUCAUUUAUUUGGGGACCCAAAAAUGGGUUACAACAAAUAUAUAUUAGAAUAUUUCAUGGACUGAACUGCUCUAUGAUUGUGCAUUUAUAGCCCAAUUAUUAUUAUUUUUUUCUUUUUCCUGUUAAUUGCAUUUUGGAAUUCAUUUGAUUUGACAUAAUUUGAACUGGAAGAAUGAAUUGGGUUGGCCUUCAUUUGUUCUGUUUUAAUGUGACUGAGAGCCUUAUUUUUUUAAAUGUAUUGUCACUCAUUUAGAUACUGACUAAGUAGAGUUUGCACUCAGAUUAACAUACAGUAUUCAUUCAUUCCAUUAAGCCUUAAUGGAGUAGUGAAUGAAUAAAAUGACUUUUAUUAUAUGUUCCUUGCCUGUGGUCCUCUACUACGUGGACGCUGAACUGGAGCAUUGGAGGUUCCCCCAUUGCUCCAUUGUUGGUAUAUUUGAGCAACUAUGAAACAUGAAGCUGGCCAAUAGGUGUCUAUAAGUAGUACAUAGAUUUUACAAUAGAAACAUGGUGCAAUCAGUGUUCUAUAUGCACGAUCAAAUUUGGGGCUUCACUGUACUACCUCAGAUACUGUCAAAAUAUGCUUCUUGGAAUUCGGAAGCUUAGAUCAUCGGUUAACAUGUCUGGUGUUGGUGCUUCAUGAAAUGAUGUUACCUUUUCUCUUUCUGAACGUUAUUUCCAGGUUGGAAAUUCAAGUAAUUAGUUCAAAUCGAUCCUAGAAGAUUGUUGUUACUCAAAUUUUGACCCACCUUUUUGAUAAAAUUUUUGAAAAAUCCAAAAAUAGUGAAAAACAACAAAAAUCCAAAAAAUAUGUUUUUAAUAUAUUUUGCAUCGUUUUUAGCAUUUUCAACGUCGUCUAAAAAAAACACAAAGAAUUUUAAUUUUCAAAGGUUUUUCGAACGCGUUCGACUUUUCACGCGUCAUUUUUAAAAUCAUUAAUUUUUCUCAUAGAAUUGACGUUGAUUUUGCUCGUUUUUAAAAAUACAAGAAAAAAAAAACAAGACAAAUCAAAAUUUACAAAAAAAGAAAGUUGAGGGACCAAUUUUGAUACCCGGACAACAUUUUACCUAUAAAUAUAGGUUGAAAACUCAAAAAAAGAAGAGGGGGGGUCAUUUGGUAAUUUUGAGGAGAGAGAACACAAACCAGAAACCCUAAGAGCCUAAUUGUUUCUCCCCUCACAAAAAGAAGCCGCCGGCCACCCCCCACUUCUUCUUCCUUAUUAGCCAAACAGCCUGCACCUCACGGAGGAUUUUUUUUUGACAGACUCCACCAAAGGUUCUGCUCCCUCACCAGCACAACCCUGGACCUGGCAUCUCCCUCAGCCUAAACAGACCCGCCGUCCCCUGUUCCCUUGAUUUUUUUUCUUCUCUCGCCCAAACCAGCCACCGCAGCUCUCCUCUUCCUUCUUUCUCCUACAACCCGAUCUUCCCACGUUUCCUCACAGGACGACCCUCCAUUUUGAUUUUUCUUCUUCUCCACCUGACCAAGCCGAAAGAGGAGCGGCCCGCCCUAGAUUGAUUUUCUUCUCCUUUCUCGGCCGACAACCAAGCCCCCCCUGGUUUUGAUUUUUGGCCGGCUGCGAGAGAAGCCUUCGGCUCUCGGACCCAUAGCCUCCCAGACCCGCACGGCCAGCCUCAUCCCCACCGUCCCGCUCCUCUCUCAGUCGACAACACAGGCGCCUCCACCACCGGCCACCCGAACCAGCGUCACUGACCGUUCCCCAGCUCUGUCCGACCUCUCUCUCAGCCAUCGUGGACAGACCACCUUCUCACUCUCCUCUCAGUCGGUCGUCGCCGAAGAAGCAACACACACAGACCGGCCUUUCUCCCCCAAGCCCCGACCGAGCGCCUUCCUCCUCCACAAACGUCGUCCCAUAUAAGUCGGGCCUCUGCCAGCAGAAGAAAAGAUGAAGAAAAGGAGGGCAGAUCUGCAGAUCUAAAAGAGGAGGCAGAGGAGCAAAAAUCUGAGAAAAUUAAGAAAGAAAUUGAAACCGAUUGUGUUGUGUGUAUUUCUAGUGUUGCAGGUGAAGGCGUUCCCCACUGCCGGCGUGGGAAGGCAGAGGGGAAGAAGACACUAGUCCCCUGGUUUUUUUUUGUUUUGUUUUUAGCGGCGGCGCGUGAGCCCACGCGCCGCCAGUGGUGGUGUCGCGUUGGGCGACGCGCCGCCACUGUUCCUGCGGGUGGCAGAAGGGCAAUGCUGCAAUUUCUGGAGUUUAGGGACUAUUUUAUAAAUUAUGUAAUGUAAUUUUUAUUUAGUUUAAUUUGUUGUUAUAAUUUGUAAUGUGAUGUAUAAAAAGAACAAAAAACAAUAAUGUAAAAGAAAAGAAAAGAAAAGAAAAGAAAGAGAAAAUGAUAAUAAAAAAGAAAAGAAAAGAAAUGUUUGUGUGUGCUUGUAUGUUUUUUUUAUGUAUGUUAUUGAAUAAAAAAAAAGGAAUUUAAUUUAUAUGCACAAAUAUCUAAAGGACAGAUAAAAAUCAUGUUGAAUUUUCCAUGGAAAUGUAGAACAUGUAUCUACAUAUAGUCUUGAAAAGUAAUAACUGAUUUAUCAAAGCCUUAGAAUUGAGCUAAAAUUUUAUUUUUAAUAUCACAUCAAGUCCACAAAGCUUGAAAGUGAAUGUGGCGUGUAUUUCUGUUUAUGAAUGUUUUUUUAUUAUGAUAAAAUUGCAAGAAUAAAGAAGAAUUUAAUAUUCUGAUUUGAUCACGGAUAAAGAAUUAUGAACUUACAUGUAAGUUGUAUUUUUUAAAAUUCGAUGAAAGAACAUAAUUUUUAAAACUUCUUUAACACAUCAAGUCCACAAAGCAGCUUACCUCAGGUAGGGUGCGUUAGGGGUGCUAAUACCUUCCCUAACCACAACCAGUCCCUUACCCGCGAUCUCUGACAAGACCAGUACAUCAAGUUUCUUAGUAGCCCUCAAUGAAUUACUAGGUGGCGACUCUAAAGAACCAAAUCAGCAAAAAAGAACGAAUAAUCGCCAGCCGAUGCCGUGCGUGGAUUUUUUCGACGUGCUACAAAGAUGAAUGGUGGCUUAGAAUGCUGUGAAAAAAUCAUUCCCUUGUUCAUUUUUCAAAUUAGAAAAGACAACUUUUUGCUUGAACUUUUAGAAUAUAAAAAAUCAUACUUUCAUAGCUAGACACUUUCCAUCUAUGAUCUUUAAAUCUGAAGACAUAACAUCUGGUUUAAUGAAAGUGCUAUUAACAUGCCAAACUUUAUUAGAUUGUUGUUGUGCACUUGGGAAGAAAUAAAAUACUUGUCCUCUAUUGUUUUCAAUAGCAUAAUCAGCUUCAUAGUUUUCUACGUUGUCUUUUUACUAGUAGUACCUUUGUGAAUGUCUGGGAUUUCUGUCUUUUGCAUCUAUACCAGCACUCUUUUACUUAGUGUCCACCUCAUUUUCAAGUUCAUAAGUAGGAGGAAAGAAUGUAAAAAUAUAGCCAUUUGUUUUCUGGUUUUUUGCUGGGACUUUUAUUUAAAAUUUGACACAAGUGUUUUAUAUAUAAACAUCUCGAUUUAAUUUUUUGUUUCCUAAUCGACGAGGAAUUCCACUCACAAGUAAUAUCUGUACAUUUUUUCUCAUGUUUGGUUAAGGCUAGGAAAGUGAAACAAAAAUCAUGUUAUGCAGUAUAAAAAGGUAAUGGAAGUGACUGGUUUCACCAUCACCGGUAAAGUGUCUGUAAUGACUGGCAUGGCCUAUGGGCUACAUUAUGCUUAGAUCCGUUAAAAUCAUGUAUGUAAUGACUGGCUAUGAAUGAAGUUUUUGUAAUUUAAAAAAAAAAAAAAAAAUUCUGUGAUGUCCAAAGUACACUUAUUAUGGGCAUGAGGAAGUGUUAAUUUACAUAGUUAACAUCUGGCCUUCCGCAUGUUUUUGCUUAUUUAUUGAAGUCACAAAGUUCUUUGUUCAUCUAUGGUGACACCUGUGUAGUUUAAAGUGGGGAAAUAUCAGAGUACAGUUAUUAUAGCAUAAUUUUGAGAUACUGUUUUAGGGAUUGAGAUUUUUAUUGGCUGAGAGCUCCAUAAGGUACUUGGAUGGUCAGCCAACAUCUGGCCUCUCCUGUUUUUCAAACUUCAAUGGUAAUGACCAUAGUUCAUUUUUCAAGGCUUUGAUUAUAUAAAUUUUUCCAGGUAGUCUUAUAUAGGACCUACUAUCUACUAUCAGACCACAUGUCAACUUGACUCUGUUUGUUCUUGCUGGUAUUAUUAUUUUGCCUGUUAAUUGCAUUUGUUUUUCUAUGCAAGAUGUUUUUCAAGCAAUUGCUAUCUAUUUGUAUGUCUGCGAUAUGCUAAGUUUGAGAAUUCCUUUCUUUUCUCCAUUCAGAGCGGUUGUGUGCAAAGGAUGAAUAGAUGUGAACCUGCUAUUGAUCAAUGGUAGAGAUUUGGUUCUGAAGGUGGCUUGAUCAAGUUAUCUUUGGAGUUGGCAUUUUCACACAGGCAGAAGAAAUUUUUCUUGUAUUCCCAACCCUGAUACAAUAUUGUUGGUCUAGUCUUUGGCAUUACCGCCACUGAGGAGCGAACCUCCUAUUGAAUCUGGAUUAGUUACAGAAUUUUAAAGACUUUUUAAUCCUCCUGAGAUUCUAAGCACCGAUUUACUCUCCCUAGGAACGCAAGUUAGGAUAAAUGAGUCAGUUAGAUGCUCCACUGGUAUAUCCAUUUUUCAUUUUGCAUAGCUAGUGUAUUCUUGUAGCAAAAUAUUUUAUCCGUUGCAAUUAUAUUGUGAUUUUUCCAUUUUGAACUCGAGAAAUUUUAGUGUAGUAUCUGGAAGACCACAGAGUUACGUGCUUCGGCAGAAACAGUUGUAUACCUGAAUGAAAUCUCUUGUCAAUAAUAAGGUUUGAUUACUCUUUGGAACUCAUUUACAGUACAUGGUUCUCUAGUCACAUGCAAAAGUUGCAGGUUGUUCAAAAAUGGUGGUUAUUUUGGUUUUGGUGAUUUAAGCACUUAUUACUGCAAUAUCAGCAAUGAGGAAAAGCAACUACUGAAAAUUGCUCUUAAUGGUGAAAGCAUUAUACAUCAGGUGUUAUUUGCAGCAGUUCGCAUCUGCUUGCAUAACUGUUAUUGGCAUCCAGCUUGGUGAUGUUGGAUUCUGUUGCAGCAAAACAGUUCUUGUGCUGGGAUUCUGAUGAAUCGCGGUGUGAUUUUUGUACUUAAUGUCAGAAGGUAAUGAACAAUUUCUACUUUCAUCCAUAUUGAUAUAUUCGUCUUAUUUCAGGGAGCAAUGAACAUAAGUGGAUAAUGAGAUUUGGGAUUCAUGCUUGGAAAUGUUCUCACGUUUUGGGUUCGAAAGAUUGAAACAAUUUCUACUUUCUCUUGUUUCAUUGAAGUGAUAAACUAACUGCAACAUUAAAGGUAGGUGUGUUUGAGAAUGUGAUAAUGAUUGUGUUUUAAAUUGUUUUUUAUUUAAAAAUAUAUUAAAAUAAUAUAUAUUUUUAAAAAAUAUUUUUGAUAUCAACACAUCAAAACGAUCUGAAAAAUAUAAAAAUAUAAUUUUAAGUAAUUUUUUUCUUUCAAGUUUUGGUGGAAUGUGGUUUGAACCACAUUUCUAAAUGGGGCCUAAGUAUUCUUAAACUUUAUUUUGAGUGAUUUAGUUUUAAUUAAAGAUCAAUUGAUUUUGAUUUUUUAUGAAAAAAUUUGAUUGAAAAAAGAGAGAUCUAAAUGAAAAAGGCGUCAAACAUGGUGAUAUGCUUUAAGUUUUGAAAAUGAUCUACUUUGAUCCUCAAAUUUUAAAAAACAGAAAUUAUAUAAUUUCGAUACCUUAAUAUUUUUCAAUUUAAUUUUGGUAUGAAAAUUUAUUUUUGUUAUUUUUUAGUUCUUGAUUGAGAGUGAAGAGAGAAGUCGUUAAAUUCCAACGAUAAAUAGAGAAUCAUGUCGUUGACAUUGAUUUAGGCUACUAAAAUGGAUGAUAUUUGUGUCAAAUAGUUCUUUUGAAUUGAGAGAGUUCAUAUUAGGUGUUUUUCUUAACUUGAAAGUUCGUUAAAAAACAAAUAUGAUCUCGGGUUGAUUUUUGAUUUCAGGUUCAUUAAUGUUUUUUCAAAGGGUUUUUUUUCUUUUUUUUAAGGCUAUGAAUAAGUUUAUCAUGGUUCUUAAUGUUUUUUAUAAGUGUUUUGGGAAAAAACUUAGGCCUUGAUUUUUCGACCACCACAGUGGUUAGAAUUUGGGCAAGAUCAGACGACGUGUUGUCUGUCUAAACAGGUGAUGUGUCAUCUGAUUUUUUUUUUAAAAAAAUAAGGGUGGACAACAUAUCAUUCGCUCUAAGAGUAACAAAAAAAAGGACUUAGACGAGCCCUAAUGAAAUGGGUCAUGCCCAGAAGCACUUGACCUUUUAUUUCCCUAUUGUUUUCAAUUAAUCCUUAUUUUUAUAUGUUUUUUUGUAAAAUAAAAAAUUAAUAACAUUUAGAUUAAUACCUCUUUUCUUUUUUUAUUUUGUUUAGAUGAACUAUAUUUUGGAAAAUAAAAAAUAUUUAUUUUCAAAUAAUAUUUCUAAUAUGUGUAGUAUAUAUGUGUGUGUAUUUUAUUCAAUCAAUUUAAUGUCGUUUGAAUAAAAAAACAUUGUAAUAAACAAAAUUUAGCAACAUAUAAUUAAGUAAAUGUCAUGUCUUGCAAGAUUAAAUAUCUUGAUCUACACAUGUCUCUUGAUUUUUCUAGUUUUAUUUUUAGAUAUCAUUAAUGGCUUUUUUUAUUUAUUCAUUAGCACACAUAGUUCUCAGCUUACUUGAUUACUUGUAUGCAUAAACUUUUUUAUCUACACUUUAAUAUUUUGAAUUAUAGAAAUGCGUUGAAAAAACCUGCAUAUAUAAUGUUUUUAUAAAAAAUAAAAAUAUCUGACAUGCAAAGGAGCACAAGUCAUAUAACUACUAGUAGUACUAAAUUCAAGUUAUAAAAAAUAACAUAUAGCACAAGUAAAUUGCAUAGAUAAGACAUCAAUGACACAAACCCCUCCAUUUAUAGAUAAUGGAGCGUCAAUUCUUAAGUUUAGGGAGACACAUGGUGGCCGUAUAAGUCUAUAUUGGAUUCAAGCAAUCUGAUUCAUUCUUCAUAGUUAAUGUAUCUAGUGACUUGACAUGAAAAGCCUAAAGAGUUGGUAACUAAUAGUAGGUGAUGUAUGGUAAGCAAGGUGACCAAUAGUUGGUACUUGUAAAAGGUCCUCUUUGAUGGAUGUGGGGAUUCUCCGAUAGUAAAGUUAGUAACUUUAUAGAAAGAGAAGGUGCAAUAAUAUUUUAGAGAGAGAUACUCUGAAAAUAUAUACAUAGUAGAGAAUGAAGGAUUUAUGGUGUAUUUCUAGCUCAUGAAUCUUAUCUUUUUUGUGAAGAGGAGAGACUAAAGUGUAUUUUAACAUUAUGAUAUUUUGAGUUGUAUUCUACUUAAAAUAAUAUGUAUUUGAUCAAUAUAAAAUAGCCCGAGCUCGUGUUUCUUAGGUGUUUUCUGAUUUUGUUUUUUAUUUAGAGGAUUUUUUUUGGAUCAAUUUUGGAGAAUUUUUUAGAUUUAUUUUAUUUGUAUCCAUCAUAUUCUAUUAUCAAUUUAAAAAUUCCGAAGAUAUAGAUUAAGAAUAUAUUUUGUAUAUAACUUCCUCAUUUUCCAUUCGUAACCCAAUAACACAUCUUGAAACACUAAACUAAGGUGAACCUUCAAAUAGGAAACUAAAUUUUAUUGAAAGUUUACCCCUUUCACAAUAUCUGACACUAAACAAUGAAUAGCUUCAACAAGGAGGAUUUUUUAGGAAAAUUUAUUUAUUUUUAAUGUUUUUUCUAUUUAGUGUAAGAAGUUAAAUUUUUAUUUUUCCUAGUUUAUUUAGAAUUUUUAUUACUUUUUUUUUUCUUCAAGUUUUCUAGUUUGUUUAGGUUAGUUUUUAAGUUUAUUUAAGAAGCUGUAAACUUUUUAGUGAGGAAGACUAUAUGAACAUAAAAUAUUCAGUAAUAAAAUUAUAAAUUAGAAUUUUGUGAGAUAAUUUUAUUUGGCUUCAAUCAUGUCUUUAUAGCUUAUUGUAUUUUUUUGUUUUUAUUUUUGUUUUUUGUUAGUUGAUAUUAGAGUCCAACGAUACCAAUGGUUAUUUUCUUGCUAUGUGCUUAAAUAACCAUGACUAGAAGAUGUAGUAAAAUAAGACAUGCUCGUAUAGAAAAGGAUGAAAAGGUUUUUCUUGAGAAAGAGAUGUUUAAACGAUGGUGAUAGAAAAUAUGUAAAAACAAAUUGCAAAAUUGAAAAGAGAUUUUGAUAUGAUAUAAGACAUGCAUAAAAAAUUGCAAUAUUAACCCCUUAGUUGGCGGAGGUAAGGAGCCUAGAGUAUCUUGAGAAAAGUUACCAUGGAUUUAUAGUUAAUUUUGAGAAUUUGUUUCAAAGAUGUAAGUAAAGAAAAUAACUUCUUGAUUGGGAUGAAUAUGACAUUAAAAUUAAAUGUUUUGAUAAUUCUAGUUUCUUUGUGGACUAGAAUCAAAUACUAAAAUUUGACUAGGAUGAUGAAAAUGACGGCAAAGAAAAAGAUUUAAAUGCAAGUUUUUUUAAUUGGUGAUCUCCAUGAGAAGAUAUCAAAAUUAGAUGUGGUUAUGAAGCAUACCGUGAAGGAUGUGUGUUCAAGAAAAUUUUUAGAAUUAAUGAGGUGAAAGCUGAUGCUAUUGCAAUUCAGCUCAUGCAAGACUUCCAAGUCGUUGGCAGUAUCCAAUUCCAAUAUUAUAGACUUCAUCAAAGGUAGUUUACGAAGAAAGUACCCAUGAGACAUGAUUAUAAUAAAAAGUCGUUGUCGGCAGGGGUGGAGCUAGAAUUAUUUGUUAGGGGACUAUAAUUAAUAUAAUAAAAUAUAAUAUUUAUUUUACUUUAUUGUACAUGAGUUGUAAAAAAACCUGUAUAAUUUAGUUUUAUUCAAAGAACUUACUAUAAACAUAUAAUUAUCUUUGUAUGAGGUAAAAGGUUUGAAGAAAUACCAAUUGAGUCAAAGCAACGAAGUUAAUUUUAUCUUCAUAAUAUAUUCAUCACUUUAAUGUUAGUCUUUAUAUCUAUCAAAUAUAAACAUACAAAGUAUAUAAGAAACAUUAGCUAAAACGAAGUAUUAUUUAUGUUUGAUAAACUUUGAAAUAAAGCAAAAAAUAAUAAAGAACUAUUCUCACUAAUCAAUGCGGGUUUUUUGUAAACUGAGGCGCAUUGGAGUUGCUCAAUCAUAACUUUAACAUUACACAUUGGAGUUGGUUCACUAGGCUGCGAGUUAUCAAUCACCACCAGAAAUUCGCUAAAUACCAACGGACAUACCGACGGAAUUUUUUCUGUCGGUAUUUUUCGGCCGAAAUCACCGACGGACAAUAUUCGUCGGUAAUUAGGUCGGUAAUUACUGACCGAAAAUUCAGAAUUAAUGAAAAAAGGGCGGGCAGGUGGCGCGGAGGUUUUGGCGGGUGAUUUUUCCGACGGAAUUAAAAACUGGGGCCCGUACGCGUGAUGAGACCUGUUCACCGUCAAAAAAUACCGACGGAAUCACCGACGGAUUUGAAAUGCCAGAUCCGUACCGGUGACGUGACCGGUGCACCGUUAAAAAUACCGACGGAAUCACCGAGGGAUUUGAAUAGCAGGUCUGUGCGGUGACGUGUCGAUUGCCCAUCAGAAUUAUCGACGAUUUGGCAGACGGAGUCACCGACGGAAUCCAAACCGUCGGUAAGUCCGUCGGCAAAAGUGAAUAUAUGGCUAACCCCCCCCAUCUGCAAAAUAACCAGCCCCCCCUCGCCCCAAAACAAAAAUCUUCCUCAUCUCAGCACAACAAGUUGUAUUUCUUGAAGUUUUGUGGUCACAGCAUCCGUGUUCUGAUUUAUCGAUGGAUUUUAUUAUUUUUUGUAAGUAAUUCUAUCUUUUAAAAUUUUAACAUUUAAAUGUCAAUUUUAUUGUUUUUUUAGUAUAUGUAUUUUUUUUUUUAGUAGAUGUACAUGUUUUAUUGUUAUUUCUCAAACAAACUUGUAGUAUAUGAAUGUAUAAUUUUAUACUUGUUAUGGUUUGUUUUAGAUUUUGUAAGAUUGUAUUUGUUUGAAAAUUGUUAAAACUUAAUUUGUAGAAUUACCGAAUUACAUGUUAUGUUUUGAAAUAAUUAAGAGCUUGCUUAAUUAAUGGGUCCUUUUUAUAGAGGUUCGAUAGAAGUCAUGGAUGAUCGUUCAUGGAUGUAUCUAGAUUCACCCUAAGGAUUGCGGAGGAUGGAUUAUUGUAACGGGGUUCAGGGUUUUAUUAAUUUCGCAACAUCUAUUCCCAUAAAUUUUACUGGAGGCGGUAUUAGGUGUCCAUGCAGGAAGUGUCAAAAUAAAAAGUAUCUGCAUCCAGAUGUUGUAAUGAUGCAUCUUCUACACAAAUGGUUUGUGGAGGAUUACGAGUGUUGGUAUGCACAUGUAGAGGUAUUUGUUAGUAAUAGGAGAAUGGGAGAAACAGUGGUUGGGUCAACUUCUAGUGCUAGCAACGUGCAUGAAGCGGCAAAUGACAACACUAAUCCUUACAGAAACAUGGUUAUGGAUGCAAUGAGAAUGAAUCAAGAUAAUGUCAAUCAAUGUCCAAUCGUAGAAGAAGAACCAAUGCAGAGGCAGCUAGGUUUUUUGAUUUGUUGAAAGAUUCUGACGAACCAUUAUGGGAUGGCUGCACAAACCACAGUAAAUUAUCGGUUGUGGCACAGGUGUUCACCAUCAAGUCAGAUCACGGGUUGAGUGAGGCCGGGUAUGACAAAAUUAUUGAUUGGGCAAGAAGCAUUUUACCAGAAGGGAACAGGCUCAAAGAGAACUUCUAUGCUGCGAAGUCCAUGAUGAAACCCCUCGGUUUAGGAUACCAGAAAAUUGACAUGUGCCCUAACUUCUGCAUGUUAUACUACCUUGAAAAUGUUGUGAUGACCGAGUGCAUGACAUGGUGGCAUAUAAAAAACUUAGAUAUUUCCCGAUCACACCUAGACUGCAGAGGUUAUUUAUGUCACCAAGGACUACUGAGCACAUGACAUGGCACCAAACACACGAUGUCGUUGAUGGUGUGAUGGUGCAUCCUUCUGACGGCGAAGCAUGGAAACGCUUUAACAGUGUUCAUCCUGACUUUUCUGCUGAAUCAAGGAAUGUUCGACUUGGGUUGUGUACAGACGGGUUCAACCCAUUUGGGUCAUUUGCUGCUCCCUAUUCUUGUUGGCCGGUCAUUCUCACAGUUUAUAACUUGCCACCGGGAAUGUGUAUGAGGCCGGAGUUCAUGUUUCUAUCUACUGUCAUACCCGGUCCAAGCAGCCCGGGGCGGAAUAUAGAUGUUUGUCUUCGACCGUUGAUAGAUGAGCUGGCGCAGUUGUGGUCCUCCGGAUCUCUGACUUAUGAUAUAUCGAGGAAACAAAAUUUCCUUAUGAGGGCGGCUUUGAUGUGGACUAUCAGUGAUUUUCCAGCUUAUGGAAUGCUUUCUGGUUGGAGCACGCAUGGGAAACUCGCAUGUCCAUACUGCAUGGAAAACAACAAGGCAUUCACGCUAGCAAACGGAGGUAAAGCUUCUUUUUUUGACUGUCACCGUCGCUUCUUGCCACUUAAUCACAGGUUCAGAAAGAACAGAAAAGAUUUCUUUGUUGGUAGAGUUGAAAAAGAUGUUGCAUCCCCGCGUCUUUCUGGUGAAGAAUUGCAUCAUGUUGUAUCAGAGUACGGUGACAUUGUGUUUGGCCUUCAAUCAGGUAAGCAAAAGUUUCCUGGUUUUGGUUUGACCCAUAAUUGGGUAAAGCGAAGUAUCUUUUGGGAGCUUCCGUAUUGGAAGACUAAUCUUCUCCGCCAUAACCUUGACGUCAUGCACAUCGAAAAGAACGUGUUUGAGAAUAUUUUCAACACCGUCAUGGAUGUGAAGGGGAAGACAAAGGACAACAUGAAGGCUAGAUUGGAUAUAGCUUUAUACUGUAACCGUAAAAAUAUGGAGUUGGUUUAUGACGAGUCACGGGUUGCAAAACCAAGGGCAAGCUUCGUGUUAGAGAAAAACGCACAACUGCUAGUCUACAAAUGGCUUAAGAGUCUGCGUUUCCCGGAUGGACAUGCAUCGAACAUAUCAAGGCUUGUUAACAUAGAGGACUGCAGAUUGUAUGGAAUGAAGAGCCAUGACUGCCACGUGUUUAUGCAAACACUCAUCCCAUUAGCUUUUCGUGAUUUGUUGCCAAAGGGAAUAUGGGAUGCACUAACGGAGAUCAGUCAUUUCUUCAGAGAUAUAUGCUCCAGCAAGAUGAAUGUUGAGCACAUUGAGAUGCUUCAAACGAAUAUCAUCGAGACACUAUGCAAACUUGAGAUGAUAUUCCCUCCUUCAUUUUUUGACUCAAUGGAGCAUCUCCCUAUACAUCUACCGUUCGAGGCAAAAGCUGGAGGACCGGUCCAGUAUAGAUGGAUGUACCCAUUCGAACGGUGAGAUAUUACAGUUGCAAUGGAAUUCAUAUCUUAAAGUAUUUUCUAUGUUUUUCUUAUUUGAAAAUACUUGAAUUGUACUUCAAUGCAGGUACUUGUUUAAUCUAAAAAAAAAGGUUAAGAACAAGGCGCAUGUUGAGGCUUCGAUAUCUGAGGCCUAUAUUGUUGAAGAGAUAUCAACAUUUAUCUCGUACUAUUUCGAACCUCAUCUGAGAACAAGAAUCAAUCGCGUUCCACGGCAUGACGAUGGCGGUGAAGUGCCUUCCAGUGGGAACUUGUCAAUAUUCUCCAAUACUGGACGACCCACACCUAAAAAUGCCGUAAGAGGAAGAUAUUUGUCGGAAAUAGAAUUCAAACAAGCACACAACUAUGUUCUAUUUAACUGUGAUGAGCUGAGACCAUUUAUUCAGUAAGUCUAUAUAUGUGUAAUACUAAUUAAACUUUGUCAGUAAUAUACUGUUAAUUAUAUAUUGUAAUAUCAUACACUCAUUAUCACUUGCAGGCAACAUCGACAAUAUUUGCUCUCCAAUAACUCGCAGCUGACCGAAUCCCAGAUCUUUCAAUUACAAGAUGAACAAUUUGCCACAUGGUUCAGAACACAUGUAAGCACUAUCACAAACUCAUUCUAACGUAUGCAUGUCAUUACGAGAUUCUCGUUCAUUUACCGUGUAUUGAUGUACAUUUAAUUACAUAUAUUUACAAGGUUUAUCAAAUGGGAAGGAGUGCGCCCAAGUCAUUGUCUUCACUAAGCCUCGGCCCUGAAAGAAAAGUUAAGUGCUACAACGGGUAUUUUGUCAAUGGAUAUGUUUUCCAUACUGAAGAAUACGGGCAAGGAAGAAAGACAUACAACUGCGGUGUUUGUGUUAAGGGAUCCACAAGUAGCCAGUUAGAAGUUGACUACUAUGGUAGAUUAGAAGAGGUCGUCGAACUGCAAUAUCAUAGCGAGCAGAAUAAAGUGUUUUUAUUCAAAUGCUAUUGGUAUGACACGACGGACAGAGGAAUCAGAGUUGAUCCGCACCAUGGUCUGGUCGAAAUCAACUCAAAAGCUAGACUCCGCAACAUAAACGAUGUCUUUGUUUUCGCAAAGCAAUGUCAACAAGUUUAUUACACAUACACCCCUUCAUUUAGAAAGGAUCGUUCAAGAGUUGAUUGGUUGUCCGUUUUAAAAACGAAACCACGGGGUCGUGUCGAGGUUGUUCAGGAUGAGAACGAAGACACAAGUGUGCGAGAUGAAGUCUUUCAAGUUCGUGAGUUGGUUGAACCAUAUCGAGUUGCUCCUUCGAUUGAAUUGGAAGAAAAUUCAAAUUUUCGAGUUCUCGAUGAUAGUCUUGUUGAUAUUGACGGAGAGGAGUUGAAUGUUGUUCUCAGCUCUAGCGGACAAGCAAAUGUCGAUGAAGAAGAUGAUAUCCAUAUUGAAGAUUGCGAUGAAGAUGAUGACAAUUCAAUUGAUGAGGAAGAAGAAGAAAAUUCCGACUAAUUAUGAAAAUGAAGCCCUAUGUAAAAACAUUUGUCUCAUGUAAUUUAGAUUAUUGAUGAUGUAUUUUGUAAAACAAAAUAUUUAUUGUUUAAGCAAUGUGGUUAUUGUUUUAUGUGAUGGAGUUUAUCAGUUAAGUUUUGCAGGAAGGUAAACAGGCAAUACAAAGACAACCUUUCCUGCAUAAUGCAAAUCACCGACGUCCAUACCGACGGACACCAUCCGUCGGUAUCUCACAGAGAGUUCGAAAAUAUUUACAACAAAAUGCCACAAUCACCGACGUCCAUACCGACGGACAACCAUCCGUCGGUAUCUCACAGAGAGUUCGAAAAUAUUUACAACAAAAUGCCACAAUCACCGACGUCCAUACCGACGGAAACCAUCCGUCGGUAUCUCACAGAGAGUUCGAAAAUAUUUACAACAAAAUGCCACAAUCACCGACGUAUACCGACGGAAACCAUCCGUCGGUAUCUCACAGAGCUCGAAAAUAUUUAACAAACCACCACAUCGACGAUUACCGACGGCUAGGUCCGUCGGUAAUUUGUCGGUCACAUAUUACCGACAGAAAUACCGACGGACCGCGCGAUUUCCAAAGUGUGUUAAUUAAUGCGCCUCUGAACUUGUCAGAUUACCGACGGAAUCACCGACGGACUGCGAAAAUAUGGAGGGCUUUUAAAAAUUCGGGGCGAAAUUCAAAAAUACCGACGGAUUUUUGACCUGUUACCGACGGAAUUUUACCUUUUACCGACGGAUAUUAAUUCCGUCGGUGAUUCCGUCGGUAAAAUUGCCUAUAAGUUCCAGCCCCGCCGCUUCGCCUCAUUUUUUCUUCUCUCCCCGCCGCUUCGCUUCUCCUCCUUUUUCACCUCAGAUUUUUCAUUUUUUCCCCUCAAUCCUUAAACACUUUCACCUUUAAUCUCUAGCAAGAUUUGGUGUUGUAAAUCUUCAUCAUAUUAAAAGGUAUGUGUUUUUUUUAAUUUAUUUUAUUUUAUUUUAUUUUUAGUUGUUUUUAUUUUUGUUGUUUUGGUGUUUUUUGUUGCAAUGUAGAUAAAGUUUUGAAUUUGACACAUUAUUAAGGUAUGUAUAUUUCGUUCCUUUUUGAUGUAGGUUUUUAAUUUUUUAAUUUUUUGUUGUUGUGUUGUUAGAAUUGUUAUUAGUUAAUUUAACUUAGAAUUAGUUAAAGUUGAAUAUUUGAAUUUUUUUGAAUUUUUUGAAUUUGUUGAAUAUUUGUUAAUUUAAUUGUUAGUCUAAUAUUUUUUUUAAUUAUUGAAUAUUUUUGUUGUUUGUUGUUAGAAUUGUUAUUAGUUAAUUUAACUUAGAAUUAGUUAAAGUUGAAUAUUUGAAUUUUUUUGAAUUUGUUGAAUAUUUGUUAAUUUAAUUUUAAUCUAUAUUUUUUUUUAAUUUAUUGAAUAUAAUUUAUUGUUGUAUUGCCAUAUAAUUAUUGAUUAAUUUAUUGAAUUAAUAUUGUUAAUGUUGAAUUUACCUUAGAAUUAAUAAUUGCGUUUGUUGGAAUAAUUAUCGAUUUCAAUUUAAUUUAUUUACUUUUAAUUUAUUUUUAGUUGUUUUAUUUUUGUUAUUUUGUUGUUUUGGUGUUUUUUUUGAUAAUGUAGAUAAAGUUUUGAAUUUGUCACAUUAUUAAGGUAUGUAUAUUUCGUUCCUUUUAUUCAUGUAGGUUUUUUUUUUGAAUUUUUUGAAUAUUUUUUAUUGUUUUGUUGUCAUAAUUAUAAUGAUUAAUUUGUUUAAUUAUAAUUGUUAAUGUUGAAUUGUAAUGAUUAAUUUGUUGAAUUAUAAUUUGUUGAAUUUAUUGAAUUUAUUUUUUGUCAUAUUUUUUUAUUGUUUUGAAUAUAAUUAUUGAUUAAUUUGUUGAAUUAUAAUUGUUAAUGUUGAAUUAAAAUGAUUAAUUUGUUGAAUUAUAAUUUGUUGAAUUUAUUGAAUUUAUUUUUUGUCAUAUUUUUUAUUGUUUUGAAUAUAAUUAUUGAUUAAUUUGUUGAAUUAUAAUUGUUAAUGUUGAAUUAAAAUGAUUAAUUUGUUGAAUUUAUUGAAUUUAUUUUUUGUCAUAUUUUUUAUUGUUUUGAAUAUAAUUAUUGAUUAAUUUGUGAAUUGUAAUUGUUAACGUUGAAUUUAUCUUAGGAUUAAUAGUUGAAUAUGUUGGAAUAAUUAGUAUAGAUUGGUUCGAUUGGUUGUGGCUAUUGUUAACAUUUGCAGGUUUGUGGAUUUGGGUAGUAUCCAGUAUAGGGGAGGUGCUGCCGAUUUUUUUUAACUUUUGAAUUUUAUUAUACAAUUAUUAAUAUAAAAUUGUUUAGAUGCGCAAAAUGAAAACCAGAGUUGGUCGUCCAGUCGAAUCAAGUUCGUCUAGCAGCGAUGAUGAUGUUUCCUUAGGUGCCUCUCAAGAAGAGGCACCUACACCACCUGCGCCGUCAACCGAUGCUGCCUCUUCCAGCGAUGUUUCACAUCGCAGACGCGGCGUGCCUUCGAAGCGGAAUCAAUUUACCCGCCAGUACGAGGCACAGUGGAAGGACGAUCUUUCAAUUUAAGUUUGUUAAGGUUUUAGUUUUUUUUAUAUAUAUAAAAAACAAAUUUAAAACAUAAUUUAUGAAGUAAUCACAAAUUAAUUUCAUUUCUUUUCAGGUUCACAAACAUUGAGGCCGCCCGAGUAAUAUCAUCGGCGUUUAAAGCGUCGAUGGAGAUUCCAUUGUUUCAAUGGAGUCAGAUAUCCAGACAUCCUGAAUGGAUGCCUCAAAUCAAUGCAUGGUUUCGUAGAUUUGAGGUUCAUGUUAAUAUAUAAUUUUCAGCUUAUUUCUAAUAAAUUCAAGUUAUAAUUGUAAAUAAAUUAUUAACAUUUUAAAAAAUUAUUUUUUUACAUACAGCAUCGAUUCUGCUAGGACGAUGAACAUGACACUAUUGUGAGGAGGGUGCGGCAAUUAGGUAACAUCGAAAACAAUACGACUUUUUUUUACAUAAUUAUUUAUGUUUCGAAAUGUAAUUUUUUCGUGCGUGAAUUAGGUUGCGUGAUUUUUGGUAUGACACCCAGAAAAAAGCAAAAAAAACAGCGAGGGAUAAGGGGUUCCAAGGCUGGAACGAUGUUGCGGUUUGGAGGGAUUUCAAACCAAUAUACAUCCCGGAAGAUAUAUGGCCAUACUAUCUUCAGCACGUGACGUCUGAGCGGUUCACUCGACGCUCACAGUCCGGUGCUGGCAACCGGAAUCGGCCAAUUCAUGGCUCGGUGACAACGCACACCGGCGGCUUCGUUCUGUUUUCUGCACAUGCGAAACGAAUGGUAAGAUUAACUUAAAUGAAAUAUAUCAUUCAAUUAAUUUGUUGUUAAUACAUUUUUUUCAUUAUAGGCUACGUCUCUUGGACGUGAGCCGAGCCCUAUAGAGCUGUUUGUGGAGACGCACGUGCGAAGUCAUGACCGCCAAAAGGGGACGCAACAGUUCGUUGAUAACCGUGCUCAACAUUUUGUAGUAUGUUUGUUCAACCAUUUUAUUUUGUUUUGUAAGUUAUUAUUAUGUUUAUUGAAUUGAAUAUGAUGAUUUUUUUUCAGGAGACCUAUAAUAAUCGGUUGAGGGAGAGAUACGGGGACGAUCCAUCGACCCAUCCGAAAUUCGAUCCGGAUUUGUGGAUGGAGGCUGGAUCGUCAGGUGGACCCGAUAAAAAUCGGGUUUACGGGCUCUCCAACACUACCGCGACCAACUUGUGGUCGACCGGUACUGCUUCAACCGCUGGGAGCUCCCAAUCUGUAUCGAGCUCCCAAUCUAAGGAGUUUGUGGCCUUGCAGCAAAGGUGCGACCACCUAUCAGAGGCAUACACACAACUCAAAGAAGAGCAAAGAUUGGCGAACGAACAACACAGAGCAGAGUCUGAACAACAAAGAGCGGCCUAUGAAGAGCUUCCACAAAUGGUCAUGAACAUGACACAAGGUGGAACAUGUGCGCCUAAUCCUUUUUGGCCGCCUAACCCCCAUCCUCCUCCUCCUCCUCCUCCUCCACCUUUAUAUUAAUUUUUAAUUAACAUUAUUUACAUUUAAAAAUUUGUUUAAUGUUUUUUUGAAACACAUUCAUUUUGUAAUGAAUAUUAUUUCACUUUGAGUUUUUGUUGCUUAAUAUAAAUUUUAUUUGCAUAAUUGGUUUGUAUUACCAUUAAUUUAUAUCAUUUUUUCAAAAUAAUUAAAAAAAAAUUAAAAAAAAAAAUUACACAGGGAUUUACCGACGGAAUAACUCCGUCGGCAUUAGACAGUGUCCGUCACCGUCACUGACCAUCACUGACGGAACAAAUCUGUCGGUAUAAAUUUCCCGAUGUAUUUACCGACGGAAAUAUUCCGUCGGUAUAUUUAUAACACCUACGGAAAAUAUUCCGUCGGUAUAUUCCAAGCGGGAAACUUUUUUUUUUGGCGCGCACGGUCCGUCGGUAAAAGUUUUUUUUGUAUUUCUGACCGAUAUAGCGACGGAAUGUGGAAUCACCGACAAAAGGUAUUCCGACGGGAGUAUUCCGUCGGUAAUAUAGUCGGUAAAUGCUUUACCGACGAAAUUUCUAUCACACACCGACGAAAUAUUUCCGUCGGUAAAACUGUGAAAUCUUGUAGUGAAUAUUUUUUUUGAAAAAAAAAAUGAAAUUCUUCUUAUUUUGUUCAUGGUUCAACCUAAAAUCAAAACAUAUAUCAUGAGAAAAAAUUGAUAAUUUUGGUGAUUCUGUUAAAAACAAAACAUAAAAAAAUCAAAGUAUAAUCAAAACAAACCAAUGAAAUAUAUCUAAUUAAUUAAAAAAAAAACACUAUAACAAGAAUUCAAAAAACAAUUGGUAAAAUUAGCAGAUCUAAGAAAAAAAUAAAGCAAUUAUUAACAAAAACAUCUCAAAAAAAAAAAAUAUAAAAUAUUAACAAACAUCUCAAAAUAAAUUAAAUUAAGUUACCUUAUUUUGUUUAAUGAAAAUAAAUUAAUUGAUGGCUCUAUUUCAAUUUUUUCGUUGAAAAAUUUUACUUAUGAUUUAUAUUUAUAUUUUUGUUUUUGACCGGCUGCAAAAUUUAUUGUGGAAAAUAAUGAAUUUAUAUUUACAGGAUUUAUAUUAGGGUAUGUAAAUUAAUUUUUUUAAAUCAAAUUAAAAAAUCACACUUAAUUACAGUAAAAAACUUUUGUAGAAUAAAAAACCUCAUCCACACUUAAUUACUAAUCUAUACGUCUCUUUCCCUUCUCUCUAUCACUCUUGCCUGCAACAACUGUUAACACGAGACUUGAAAUUCAAGUCAAGUGGUGUCCAUCAUCCCAUUUUUCCAAGGGCGGUACCCUAAAGACGUGAUUAUAAUAAAAAGUCUAUAUUUCCUGAAAAAUAGAAAAGAAAAACACUACAAAGCUGAGAAAGGCAGACAACAUCGAUUGUCAAAAUCUGAAGGAUACUCAAAUGAGUUUCGGAAAUAUUGAGGAGGGUGCAGGAAAACCUGAAAAUGUACGAGAGAACACAACCCCAUCACGGGUUGCUGUAAUGUGAUAGAAUUAUGGAAUGAAAAACAGAUUGGAAUGAGCAAUAACUAUUACUUGAUUUUUCUAUUUUCUGGUUGUGUAAUUAUCAAUCUGUAAGUGUUUGUUUGGAAUGCUAGGAAUAGCAAUCUAAUGCAUGAGAAUAGCGCAGAGCAGCUCAAAAUCUAAUUAAAUUUAUGUUUAGUGGAGACUAUGAAUGAUAAGGUAUAUCUGGGGGCACUGUAUGUGUCUGGAUCUGAUUUUUCACAGAAAAUUCGACUGAGGAAAAUCAAUAUCUAUGAGCAAUGCAAACCCUUAAUAGUCUGAAUUAAUGUGUUUCUACACCAUCUGUUUCUUGGGACUGACCGCAUGCUAACCUUAAGUUUGCAUAACAUCAAGCUACAACAAUAUAAUGGAUAUAUGCAAAACACAAGCUCAGGAUUCUACAGUGGCACCAGUUCCACUUAUAACAAAUUGAAGCUACUGUUUAUAUAUAUAGACAUGAUCUAAUGCUAGCAAGCUGCGAAUCAUAUAUUUUAAGCAGUCCACAUUGAGAAAUGAUUUCAAUCUCAUCUUGCCUUUGGGUCAAUUAUUUCAGAAAACACACCCCUUGCUCUUUGAUCUGGAUCACUUUGGGUGACACUUUCACGAGUGCUAACAGUGCUCCUUGAAUGUGACUCCGCUCCACUAAACAUGUCAUCGUCAUCAGUGGUCAUGACAUCUUGAUGUGGUGAAAAUGAGCUUUUAUUUUCCAUAUUGAUCCCGUCUACACUGUUGGCAUUUUUCUCAGCAGAUUGUUGAAGCUGCAAUGCAAAUUCAAGGCCCCAAACGACAUCACCCAUUUUAGGGCGUUCAAUUCCUGAAACAUGUAAGCAACUGUUAGCAAUCUCUGCAAACUUAUUUAAAGAGACAGGGGAAACCUCGCCCUUUAAAUGUGGAUCCACGAUCUGAUCAAGGGUUCCUCUUUGGUAACACUUUCUUGCCCAGUCAGCUAAGCUUGCUUGAUCUUUCGGUGAACUUGGAAUCACUGGUGGCCUUGCACAUAGCACCUCAAACAAAACCACACCGAAUGAAUAAACAUCAGAUUUCUCUGUCAGGUGUUGCCUACGGUAGUACUCUGGAUCCACAUAUCCAAUGCUACCUCUAACUACAGUGCUAACAUGGGUUUGGGAUGUACUAGUGGGACCCAAUCUGGACAGCCCAAAAUCUGAAACCUUAGCCACCCAAUUCUCAUCUAACAAUAUGUUUGUUGACUUCACAUCACGGUGAAUGAUUGUGUGCUUUGCUCCUGAAUGAAGAUAAUGCAACCCUUUAGCAGCACCGAUGCAUAUUUCUAGCCUUUGCUUCCAUGGAAGAGGAGAGUUCUUUGUUUUGUAUAGAUGUUCUCUAAGAGUGCCUCUUGACAUGUAAUCGUAUACAAGAAUCAUCUCGCCAUGAUCAUCACAGUAUCCAAUCAGUGACACUAGAUGGAGGUGGCGCAGAUUGGAUAACAUCUCAAUCUCUGUCUGGAACUCACGUGUCCCUUGCUUUGAUGAUGACUCUAGUCGUUUGAUGGCUACUGCGAUGAAACCGUAUUCAAUGUAUCCUUUAUACACAGUACCAAACCCCCCUGAACCAAUAAUAUUUUGAUCAUCAAAGUUUCCUGUUGCUUCGUUGAUUUCGAAAAAUGUAAACCGUCGGCAAAGAUCAGUAGGCAGUGAUGAAGAGAUUGUAGUCGUGGACCUAGAUGUUUGUGAUAUUAGAGUCCAGGAGGAUUUUUCCUCACUCUUGCUAGGGUCCUUGACUCGCUUCUGCUUGAAAGCAAAGAAAUAAAGAAUAAGAGAGCAAGCAAAUACUGCACCUAUGGAACCUCCAACGAUGGCUAUAACCGUAAGUAUUGAUGAUCUUUUGCCCGUUCUUCUGUCUUGUAGACUUGGAUGUUGUUCUGCUGGUGGAGGAGCCACUGUUGGCUCAGGGUUGAAUCCUGCAAGAUUUCCUGUGUUGUAUUCAGCUUGAAUAUUUCCAAGCCAUUCAAGAUUGCAUCAGCAUAAGUAGGUUUCAGUUCCAUGUUAGGGUGUAGUUCGAGCCACAAGCCCUGCUUGCUCUGGCUCCCUGAGGGACCGCACGAUGUAGUCUUUGUAAACUGGAAUGCCGUUGCCACCGCUCAUAUGGAUCACAUCUGCAUCAUCUGCUGUUUGAUUGUUGAUGAAUAUUAAAAAUACCUGUGAUUUUCAUUUUGAACUCCAUUCGAGUCUCACAAAAGUGGAGCCUAAGGAGAUAAUGAAACCAGCAUCAACUGGGAAGAUCCAUGUGAGAUUGUAAUUCAUGUUAAGAAUGGUUCAGGACCCAUUGAACGCAUAGUACUAUAUACCAUAACAGGUGCGGAGUAAGCUGGCGUUUUGGUUGUGUACUUUAUCUUGACGCCUGGGAGAUAUGGAUGUUUCCAGCUUUUCCAAAGAGAUACUCUGAAUCUUGAUGCCAUGUCCUGUACAUUCCAGUCUUGUCUCCAGUGCUGCUGAUAUCUUGCCCCCCAACAUUCAGUCGAUAAACUGUCUCAAGCGCAGUUGUGUUACCCAGAUAGAAGGUGGGCGUGCCCACAUAGGUCAGUGGAUUAUCAUCGCCACGAGCAUAGAAGCUGUCUGGCAUGGAAACGAUUUCGAUACCAUUAACGAAGGCAAAAGAUGCUGGAGACGGAUGAAGGUUAAUUCAAGCUUCUGGUUGUCCCACACGGUGAUGAUGAACUCUUUGGUGAAGUAGUCAACUGGAGGUCUUAUAGCAGAAACUGUAAGAGAGGCACUAAAGUUGUUUAGUAGCUUGUAGUUGUUGGCACUAAGCGAAAAAUAGGAUUUGGAUAUGUCAAGAUUUGAGUAAGAAGCUGGAUAAAAGUAGAGACGCACAAAUUUUGGGCCAGGCAAGACUGGAAAUGUGUAAGUGAAUUAGAGUGAAAAAUACGG
rnacentral:lncRNA from 1 species